GCGGGAGUAGCUCAGCUGGAUAGAGCAACGGCCUUCUAAGCCGUAGGUCCUGGGUUCGAAUCCCAGCUCCCGUGCCA
rnacentral:tRNA from 1 species